AUGACUGACUUUUUUUCAUGUAAUUUUAGAAAAAAAAAACAAAGGCUAAAUUUUGUUGUUUUCAUCUUCAGACUAAUGAAAUUGAAGUAUCCAAAUGAAGACCCUAGCAGUAUGGAGUAUAUGGAUACAGACGUUGCCAGCAGUCAGGAGGUGAUCCAGAAGACUCAUGGGAAUCUAUUUGAAGCUGCAUCAUUGAAGACAGUCCAGCAGAAGUUGGAGUUUUAAAGGAUAAAGUUCUUCAGGACCUAUAGCAGUUUACAGUCUGUAAAACCAUGUUACUGGGACUGAUUUAUGGACUGAACUUGAGCAACCCUCCUGAACUCAGGUACACAUUUGGAAUACUGAAGAAGUUAUUUCUGGAGCCACUUCCUGUUCCUGGAAUAAGGUUUGAUUGGUUGCCCAUGAAUGCCAAUUAGAAUUGUAUUUGCUAUUUUGUGUAAUUUUGUAAUGUGGUUUAAACUGUAUUUUACUGUGUGUAAUUAUUUAUUGCUUGUUUAACAAAUACACUUUGAUCAUUUGUGACAUCUUGUCUUUUGUCUCAUUACAAGACAAAACAUACAAAAAAUGCUUUGUUGAAGGGAGUAACUUCAAAAAGAAAAUAUUGUGUUAAAGUAACUAGAACUAAUUGUGUGGAACCACUGUCCAUAAUUGAAAUGAGUAAUUUGAAACAAACCUCCUUAUGUUGAUAGAGUGAAACAAAUUUGGCUAGAUUGUAAUAAACCAAAACAUGUUGAGUUAACUUAACCAGUUUAAGUUGAAGCAAAGUCAAUAAAUUGAGUUGGUUGAACAUUACUAUUUCACAUAGAUUCUACCUCAUUCAGUUGUGUUGUCACAACACAAGGAGUUUGCAUAGAUUCAAAAAAUUCCAUUAAUGUUAUCAAAACACAAUUUGGUUGUGUGGAACCACUGUCCAUAAUUGACUUAAGUAAGUUUAAAGAGUCAUUUUUUUGAGUGUAUAGUUUUAUUCUCAAUGUUACCCUGAAAAUAGGAUACAGGUUCAACUAAUUUGAAGUCCAAGUGCAUGCUGCAUAUUACUGAUAUUAACUAU
rnacentral:lncRNA from 1 species